rnacentral:lncRNA from 1 species
AUUUUUUUUUCUGUCAUUAAAUGCAGUAAUUCAUUCUAUACUGAUCACGCUGUAUUAAAUAUUAUCUCUUUUUGUCAUAGAAGUCACCUAUUUACUCAUAUAAUCAAUAAAUGUGCUUGUUAAGUACUUUGUGAGACACUGGAGAUGGAGUGAGAAGAACAGGGGACCUCAGCCUUCAUGGAUCUCAGAACCACAAUGGAUUGAGACCAAAGUGAUUCCUGCAGGGCCUGACCGUCUAUGGAUCCACUUCCUGUGCCUGAGGCUGCUGAGAGAUAGUUUUACAAGCUCAGCCCACCUACACAGCAGUGAGCCUGGAACAGUGGUGAAUGAAAAGAAGAGAUUCAAGAAGACAUCCUUGAAGCUUUUGGACAUGAGUUCAAAGGUGAAAACUCAGAGAGGUGCCCUGGGAAACAACCAACCACAGACUUUUAGGGUUAAGGAAGAUUUAGUGGAUGAAUAUGUCCUGACUCUCUGCUCCUUAGAUCUCAAUAUUAAUCAUCCCCAAUUUUUCUCUUACCAUAGUCAAUAUGUAUUUGCUGAGAGCUAGUUGUGCAGUGUAUAUGGCUUUCAGGAGUACAGGAGUCAGGCAAUGGUCCCAUGAAAAACUGAAAUAGACUUCAUCAGAAAUGUGACAGGAUUGUAUAA